UGGGGAAUAUUGCACAAUGGACGGAAGUCUGAUGCAGCGACGCCGCGUGGGGGAUGAAGGCUUUCGGGUUGUAAACUCCUUUCAGUACAGAAGAAGCUUUAUUGUGACGGUAUGUGCAGAAGAAGCGCCGGCUAACUACGUGCCAGCAGCCGCGGUAAUACGUAGGGCGCGAGCGUUGUCCGGAAUUAUUGGGCGUAAAGAGCUCGUAGGCGGUUUGUCGCGUCUGCUGUGAAAGACCGGGGCUUAACUCCGGGGCUGCAGUGGGUACGGGCAGGCUGGAGUGCGGUAGGGGUAACCGGAAUUCCUGGUGUAGCGGUGGAAUGCGAAGAUAUCAGGAGGAACACCGAUGGCGAAGGCAGGUUACUGGGCCGUUACUGACGCUGAGGAGCGAAAGCAUGGGGAGCGAACAGG
rnacentral:rRNA from 1 species